CACGUAGGGGACGAGCGUUGUCCGGAUUCAUUGGGCGUAAAGCGCGCGUAGGCGGCUCGGAAAGUCGGUCGUGAAAUGCCGGGGCUCAACCCCGGGACUGCGUCCGAUACUCCCGAGCUGGAGGCAGGUAGGGGGAGAUCGGAAUUCCUGGUGUAGCGGUGAAAUGCGCAGAUAUCAGGAGGAACACCGGUGGCGAAGGCGGAUCUCUGGACAGUUCCUGACACUGAGGCACGAAGGCCAGGGGAGCAAACGGG
rnacentral:rRNA from 1 species